GCAGGGGUAGCCAAGUGGUCAAAGGCGCCGGGCUUAGGACCCGGUCUCAAGGAGUUCGCAGGUUCAAAUCCUGCCCCCUGCA
rnacentral:tRNA from 1 species